rnacentral:rRNA from 1 species
GUUUCAUUUAAAAUUAUAUUAGAAUUUUAUUUUUUAGUUAAAAAGCUAAAAUAUUUUUAAAAGACGAGAAGACCCUAUAAAUCUUUAUUAUUUAUUUAUUAUUGAUUUAUAUAAGAUAAAAUUUUUAAUUAAUAAAUGAAUAAUUUUAUUGGGGUGAUAUUAAAAUUUAAAAAACUUUUAAUAUUUUAUUUCAUUGAUUAAUGAGUUUGUGAUCCAUUAUUAGUGAUUAAAAAAUUAAGUUACUUUAGGGAUAACAGCGUAAUUUUUUUGGAGAGUUCAUAUCGAUAAAAAAGUUUGCGACCUCGAUGUUGGAUUAAGAUUCUUAUUUAGAUGUAGAAGUUUAAAUAUAAAGUCUGUUCGACUUUAAAAUCUUACAUGAUCUGAGUUCAAACCGGUGUAAGCCAGGUUGGUUUCUAUCUUUAAAUUAUUAAAAUAUUUUAGUACGAAAGGAAUAAUUAUUUAAUUUUUAAAAAUUUAUUAUAUAGAAU